CAACACUUUGACAAGGUAAGUUAGCAGUAAUUAUUUGAGACUUGAUUAUCUGCCUGAGGUGAACUCUAAUUAGCUUUAUUUAUCUGUCCAUAUUGUACAAGUCCAAAGGAAUCUUGCUCGCUCCAACGGGGAAUUGCUUGACGAGAAGAAGCUGGAGACAAAUACAAAGACCAGGACCAUGAUGCAAUGGAUUUUUUUAAGGAGUGCCACUAUAUAGCAAAAAGAAUCAAGACUAUGCACUUGCUUUGUAGAAUGCUAUUGUAAUAUAUGUGAAGGUCGACAAGGACCUAUUUUUGCGUUUCAAGUUUUAUGUUGAUCAGAACAUCUUGUGUUAAUGUACUUACUGGAAAAA